CACAGCAACAUGCAGCCGCCACAGUAUGACAACCGACAGACAGUUGUAGGCACCAGGAGCGCCGAAGUACACAGUGUUCUGGGUGAAGCCGCCGCUGGUGCCCAGCUGGCACAUGCCCGUCUCCAGGUAGUCGGUGUUGCUGUUGCACAUCUCGUUGUGCUCCUGGGAGACGAAGGAGAGGGCUGGCGGGGGAGCCAACAGUGAGUGCCCACUUACCAGGACUCUGCCUGCAGGGCCCUGGCUGGCCACAGUCACUCCAAGCCACAUGUCCUCAAUAAUGUGAUGGGUAGGGUCACCUGUGGGCAUGGGAGGGAUCAUGAGCCAGGGCAUCUCACCCCAUCUUCCCAGUGCCCAGAUACUCCAGAGGGCAGGGGUUGGUCCCCCUUGGACCCUCCACUCCAGCAGGGCAGCCCUCCCUUCUCCCCUUCUCUAGCCCACCGUUCAUCUGAGCUCCCUGAAUCCCAUAUGGUCCCACUCUCCUCUACAGCUCCCUCUUCUCAGCUGGACAAAAAGUGACUAGACACUGCCCAGGCAAGCCUGGUAUCUCCUCCAGGUCCUCUCUGUGCUACCCCCUUCACCAGGCUCCUGACCCAGCACUGAGCCCCAGCACCUUCCUCUCACUUUUCUCCUUGAUGUCCAUCCGCUCACAGUCGUCCUUGUGGGCAGUGAGUGGACACAGGUACACGGCACCGGUCCGGUUGGUAUAGCCAUCAGGCACGGCGAGGUCCCGGGGGGCACCAGCCAGGAGCCUGGGGGGCAAGGAGGUAGUGGGGCCUGGGCUCAGACUCCCCAAAGCCCACUUCAAACAACUUGCUGUUCAACAUGCAUUUACUGAGCGUCUGCUCUGUGCCAGGCUCUGGGAUCAGGAGAUGAUGAGUGGAUCCUAGCCCCUGCCUGCCAGGAGUACCCAGUGCAGAGGAAGGCAGGUGAGGAAGCGGACCCCUGUAGUCAGUGCCUCAUGAGAAGAAAGCAGGGAGCAAACCAGCCCAGACUCAGCAUGGAGGGCAGUCAGGGAGGCCCACAGAAGAGGGGGCCCCAGGCGGAGUCUGAGGAUGAUGACCAGGGCUCACCAGGUGAAGAAGGAAAGGAAGGGCACUUUGGGGAAAAAUACGGUAUGUACAAGGGCCAGGAAGCAUGAGCAAGCAGGGUGACUCAGGGAUCAGCCAGCCCUCGGUACCGCUGGUGUCCAGGAACGCGGGGAGGGACAAGAGGGCAGGGUGGGGAGGGCCUUGGGGACCCACGGAGGGAUCUGAAGCAACGGAGUGACUUGGUCAGAUCUGGGUUUUGGAAGGAAUGCUUUGGCCUCUGAGAUGAAGGUAGACCGGAAGAGAGCAAGACUGGAGGAAUCCUGGCACGGGGACCAACUUCUGGGGGCUCGGGGAGAACAUCUGAUGGAUGGGGUGGAGUUGUUGUUGAGGGCCUGAGUCCUUCCUCUCUAAGCCAUCUGAGGACUUAGAUCUGGGAGGCCUGGGCCUCUAAGUGACCUGGGUGAUGUUUACCCCCUGCCACCACAGGUACAUAAGGAAUGAGGUACGGCUGGGUACCUGACACUGGACAAUAUGGCCCUCGGGCAGAGUUCUGGAUCAGAUUGGGGGUGGGCAAGGAUUAUCGCCUUGCCUCCGGCUGGCCCAUCUUUAGGGACAUGGACUGCAAGAUCCUACAAGUGUGCUUAGUGCCCUGGCAACCCAUCCCAUUCCAGAGAGGUGACUAGAGAACCAGAAGGCAGGGUGUCAGCCUUGAAAUAUCUCAAAAGACAGUCCUUAUACCACCAGCAUCAGAAAUCCCCAGGAUAUUUGUUAAAAAGGCAAAUUCCUCAGCUCAUCACAGACCAUUGGAAUCAAAUCUGGGGAAUGGAGCCCUGGAAUCUGAAUAUUUAACAUGCACCCCAAAUAUCGUGCAUUCUGAUUUGAGAAGCCAGCUCUACCACCCCUUGCUCUCCUGGCAUCAUCUCCCUGUAGCCUCCCUGCCAAGAACUCCUCCUGGAUGCUGAUGGACCAGGCCUCCUGGGUGGCAGGCAUCUCCUAGGUACCCCUCCAUCUGGUCCCAGCGACACUCUCACCCUGAGGCUCCCAGCUCAGAACCUGGGCUCUGGGCCUCCUGCCAGAGUCUGAAAGUGUAGAGCAAUGGCCCCACCUGCAGCUCCUGCCUGGGACCUGUGAUGAGGGCUGCAGGGAGUGGGCAGGGUAGAGCCUGGGCAUGCCAGGGCUUGGGGUGCCUCCGCCCACUGGAUGUCAGGAAUGCACUGCCUGAGGGUUCCGGGAGUGGGGCGGGACCUCCGCCUGCGCCUCACAGCUCAGCUCAGACCUCACCCUGGGGAAGUGUUCCUGGGGGCAGGGGUGCAGCUUCUCUAUGUGGAGCAGUCCUAGGAGUGCCCGCAGGACCUGGCAGGGGGCCAGUGUGGCAGCCAGGCCUAGUUAGUCACCCUCUGUCUGGGCUGGGGAGGGUGCUUGGUGAGUCCGCUGCCUGACCACCUGUGGACGCCUGUCCCUGGCAUGCCUGCCAGGUGAGCCUAAGAGCCUGGGUCUAGGGUUUGUUCUGCUUCAAGGGGCAAUUUCCUUGCUCUCUCUGAGCCGUGAGUGCCUCAUCUGUAAAAUGGGGACAGCCGCUGUCCCACCAACCUCCAGGGUUGUUAGGGGAACAAAUGGGUUCUUCUUCAAAAGGCCUUUCUGACUAUGAAGCCACGGCCCACCUGACCACUGUCGUUCUGAUUUCUCGUGGCAGCGGGCCUGGCCCUAGCACACUGCCAGGCCUCCCUCCAGGAAUUUCUGCCCUAUGAGGUUAGAGAACCUGGAGCGGAGGGCAAAUAGCAGGCUAGUUCAGUGUUCAGAGGCAGCACAGGAUGGGACAGAAGUAGCAUUUCCAUGGCCUAAGGAUAGCAAGCAAUCACUAAAGUGAGGGUGGGGCCCCCCUCUGGCUCUGGCAGCUAGAGGCAUUCUAAGGUGGGAGCUCAGAUUUGGCUGGCGGUGGAGGCUGGGGGUUGGCUACAAUGACCUUGAAGGGCGAGUCCAGGCCUCAGUGGGCGAGGGGUCCCUGGGGAGCCCAGGUUGCAUUCCAGGGCACGCAGUGCAAUGGAGGUGUGGCUGCCCAGCUGCUGCCCUGCCUGAGUUGUCAGGGCAAGAGGUGGCUGAGGAGCGGGGUGGCCUCAUCUCAGAGGGAGUGAGCUGAUGGAUCUUUCCUUUUAGCCUCCUGGGGUACCUACUGAGAUGGCAGAGCUGGGUAUAAAUGGCAAUUGGAUUGCAAUAAAUACCCUUCCCAUCUAUACCCUCUAGGCCCUCGCCCCACACGUGCCCACUGAUGGAUGGUGAGGCAGGGCCAGCGCCCUAAUCCCAGCCCCACGUCCCACGCCCCUCCCUCCCCAGAGAUUCCACAGGGAGCCCCCCCCCCACCCCCCUGGAGUAUUUUUAGCUCUUACUUGGCCUGCUCAGAGGCCCCUUAAGGACCUCUGGCUCCCAGCCCGGGAUCCAAUGGGUCUACAGCCAGAGGACUGUGAGUGGAUGGGGGAAGGCCGGUGUGCAAAGGGUUAGGUCCAGCUUCCAGCCACUGGCCAGGUGUGGGAGAAUCCAGAGGGUGGAAGAGACCUCAAUGAUAUGCAAAUUUACAUGUAAGUUAAUAUGAAAAUUUAAAUGUAAAUUAAUAUGCAAAUGAGCACCUCUGCUCCCUGCUUUUGGGUCUGGUCCAGAUCAGAGAGUCCAAAAGCUGACCCCUCCCAGACUGCCAUUGAGCCCACCCUCCUAGCAGCUGGGCUGCAGAGGGGUGUGGAUGGGGCAGGGAACCCCUCUGGGAGGUAGAGGAUGGGUGAAAUGACCUCUCAAGUGCUUUCAAACAGCUGCCUCUUCACUCUUGGCCCCAGUCAAACAGCUCCUCCUGGCCUCUGGGGAGACCCCUGAGCUCCAAGUUCUGGAAAAGCACUUCCUCACCCCUGCCCCAUCCCUCUUCCCAGGGGGCAGUUCAAAGCUAAUGGAACAGCCAAGUAGAAAGCAGUAGAGUCGGAGGAGGCUGGGGAAUGGGGCCCAGGGCUGUCAGGGCAUCAGGCUGGCUCACCCUAAAGAGAAGAGGCCCCCCUGGGGUGGGGUAAUGCUCAGAGAAAUAGCCUGUAAGAUUCAAUGUCCCAGACUCUUCAGGGAGGUGCUGGGGGGGCUCCAAUGGGAAGAUUUCAGUUAACUUGGAGGGGGCCAGGGGGCCCCCAUGACUUACUCCCCCACCUCAGGCCGGGAAGCAGGUUGGGGAGGGGCUGUUCCAGCUCUGAGCCCCCAGGUGGAGCGGGGACAGCUCUCAGCUGCUUGAAUCCCAGCUCUGUGCCAAUCCUGCUGCCCGAACUAGCCAUCUCCCCAGAGGCUGCUGUGGUGGUAGCUGACACUGCAGCCCUCCCCAUCCUCCCUACUUCUCCUCACGCUGCCCACCCAGCCCCCUCUGCCCUCGGUGACUCAGCCCUAGAAGCAGGGCAACAAGCUGGAGGAAGCGAGAGAAUGAGAAAGGAUGAGAGAAAGAGGCCUCGGCCCAUGCCUCUGAUAAAAAGGAACAAGGCGGAUUUUCUCAUUUCUUCUCCCUCUCCCUGGCUCCUUCGUAUUUUUUCCAUAUUUGAUCCCUUAGGGCAUUCUUCAUGUCAUCUAACUUCAGUCCCUCUUGCUGCAAUGGACGUCCUCUUCCUCCUUUGUUUAGCUCUGACCAAGCCCCUUCACUUCUUUUUCUACAACAUCAGGCUUCCCCUACCUCCCGCCCAGUUGAAAGCUCCUGGGCCUGGACUGGUCAUUGGAGAGAGCCAGAGGAAAAGGACACUAGGCACGCAGGUCCUCUGCCUGCAUCCACAGCUGCUAUGCCCAUUUCCUCUGGCGUGAGCCUUGGAGGCUGCCAGGAGCCUGUCCUGCCCGGGGAAACAUGUUUUAGGAGAGCACGGCAGGGAGGCCUGCUUCCUGCCCACCUCAGGUAUGACCUCAUCUUCCAGGAGCCGCAGCCACCUCCGCCCCAGGCUUCCAGACACUCUUAUUUCCAAGAAAUGGCGAAAGGGAGAGAGGGCCCCAAAGGUGUCUCCCAUGGCCCACAAGGUCAGGCCAGACCAGAACACCUGGAUUCCCAGGAGGGAAUGACAGAGCAGGUGCUGGGGGCCGGAAGGUCAGUGGCCAUCUCCCAGAGGAACUGUCCCUCUGCUUCCCCAGGCUCCUCAUGCAUCUCACCAAGAAGGCCAAAACACCUUGGUCCUCUGCCCUGCUCUUCACCCCUCACUUCCAGAGACUGGACACUGGGGCCUGGGUUGGGGUGAGCCUCCAACGUCGUGGACAGGGAACUCCAGUCCAGAGAUGUGUGGGAUGGGGAACAAAGAGGGUCCACAUCUGGGUUUUUAACCAUUUCUGAAAUAAGACCUUCUUUGAGAAUAAGAUGAAAGCAUUGCUCUCCCCUCCUCCUGCCCCCAGAACAAUGCACAAACACGCAAGGUUUUGCGUAUACUUUCAGAGGUCCCUGCAUCUCCUGACAACCUUCUAUGAACCCCGGGCUAAGAGUUUGUUCAGGACCAUGAACCCUCCCCCUUUUCCAGAGGGACUUUGAGGCUGACAAUAUAAGACCACAACUUGACUUGCUGGUUCCCCUGAGCUGUGUACUCAGGCAGCUGUUCACAUCUGGCUACACAGCUGGCUGCAGCUAAGCCCAGCUGGCCCAGCUGGCUCUCCCAAAGGGCCAAGGGGCAGGAUUCAGUGAGAGGAGGAGAUAAGCCAAGA